rnacentral:rRNA from 1 species
GUCUAUGGCCAUGCCACCCUGAAGAAUCCCAAUCCCGUCUGAUCUCAAAAGCUAAGCAGGAUCGGGCCUGGUUAGUACUCAGAUGGGAGACCACCUAGGAAAACCAGGUGCUGUAGGCG